rfam:Variovorax sp. Root473 contig_6, whole genome shotgun sequence.
UCGCAUCCGCCAAUCGGUCCAGCCGUGUCGCGGAAGGUUUCUUAACCAACUCGUGCUUCCUCCAGGGAAGCGAAGGUCAGCG